rnacentral:rRNA from 1 species
UACAGAGGUCUCAAGCGUUGUUCGGAUUCAUUGGGCGUAAAGGGUGCGUAGGCGGCGCGGUAAGUCGGGUGUGAAAUCUUGGAGCUUAACUCCGAAACUGCAUUCGAUACUGCCGUGCUUGGAGGAGCUGGAGAGGAGACUGGAAUUUACGGUGUAGCGGUGAAAUGCGUAGAUAUCGUAAGGAAGACCAGUGGCGAAGGCGGGUCUCUGGACAGUUCCUGACGCUGAGGCACGAAGGCCAGGGGAGCAAACGGG